rnacentral:rRNA from 1 species
CCUACGGGUGGCAGCAGUGGGGAAUAUUGCACAAUGGGGGAAACCCUGAAGCAGCGACGUCGCGUGAGUGAAGACGUAUCUCGGUAUGUUAAGCUCCAUUAGUAGGGAAGAAAAGGACGGUACGUGUUUAAGAAGCCCCGGCUAACUACGAGCCAGCAGCCGCGGUAAUACGGAGGGGGCAAGCGUUAUCCGGAUUUACUGGGUGUAAAGGGAGCGUAGUCGGCAGCACAAGUCUGGAGUGAAAUGCCGGGGCUUAACCCCGGAAGUGCAGUUGAAACUGUGCAGCUAGAGUGCAGGAGAGGUAAGUGGAAUUCGUAGUGUAGCGGUGAAAUGCGUAGAUAUUAGGAGGAACACCAGUGGCGAAGGCGGCUUACUGGACUGUAACUGACGUUGAGGCUCGAAAGCGUGGGGAGCAAACAGGAUUAGAUACCCCAGUAGUC